rnacentral:rRNA from 1 species
ACGGAAGGCAGCAGUGGGGAAUAUUGGACAAUGGGGGAAGCCCUGAUCCAGCGACGCCGCGUGAGUGAAGAAGUAUUUCGGUAUGUAAAGCUCUAUCAGCAGGGAAGAUAAUGACGGUACCUGACUAAGAAGCCCCGGCUAACUACGUGCCAGCAGCCGCGGUAAUACGUAUGGUGCAAGCGUUAUCCGGAUUUACUGGGUGUAAAGGGAGCGUAGACGGCUAGGCAAGUCUGAAGUGAAAGCUCGGGGCUCAACCCCGGAACUGCUUUGGAAACUGUUUGGCUAGAGUGCAGGAGAGGUAAGUGGAAUUCCUAGUGUAGCGGUGAAAUGCUUAGAUAUUAGGAGGAACACCAGUGGCGAAGGCGGCUUACUGGACUGUAACUGACGUUGAGGCUCGAAAGCGUGGGGAGCAAACAGGAUUAGAUACCCUGGUA